CUGUCUUCGGUGGCUCAUACACUAAAAUUGGAGCGAGAUAGAGAAGAUUAGCACGGCUCCUGUGUGAAGGUGUCACCCAAACUCGUACAGUGUUCAAAAAAAUA